CCUACGGGCGGCUGCAGUGGGGAAUAUUGCACAAUGGGGGAAACCCUGAUGCAGCGACGCCGCGUGAGUGAAGAAGUAUUUCGGUAUGUAAAGCUCUAUCAGCAGGGAAGAAAAUGACGGUACCUGAUUAAGAAGCCCCGGCUAACUACGUGCCAGCAGCCGCGGUAAUACGUAGGGGGCAAGCGUUAUCCGGAUUUACUGGGUGUAAAGGGAGCGUAGACGGCAGCACAAGUCUGGAGUGAAAUGCCGGGGCUUAACCCCGGAACUGCUUUGGAAACUGUGCAGCUAGAGUGCAGGAGAGGUAAGUGGAAUGCCUAGUGUAGCGGUGAAAUGCGUAGAUAUCAGGAGGAACACCGGUGGCGAAGGCGGCUUACUGGACAGUGACUGACGUUGAGGCUCGAAAGCGUGGGGAGCGAACAGGAUUAGAUACCCCUGUAGUC
rnacentral:rRNA from 1 species